AUAUCCGAAGGGUAAACAUUCUGCUGGCAGAGACACAACGUUACCAUUACUCGAUAGAAUGCUUACAGCUUGGUGGUUAACUGUGGAUGUUUCACUGCAAGACGAAUUUCUCUGACUUUGGUUACAGCAGCGUCAACGAUCUCUGUCACCAGACAUGUGGUGAUUGGGUUCCUAUUGAACUCUCUACUCUGUUUUUUAUCACGUCGUUGAGGAUUUGUUUCUGAUAACAGGACUUCUAGGAGGCAUCAGAUCAGAAGAUAGUUACUGCUUUCGAUUUACCUGGAUGGGGCCCGGUUUUAACAACGAUAGUGUUAUGAACGGUAGCACCAGUUGUGCAGAUGUGUUCGACAACUGCAGAGACCCCAUGCUCAUCACGAACGAUGGUACGACUCCAAAUUUCAGAGAGGUAUGGGAAAAUUUCGAGCGGCAGCAGGUAUCAUGUCGAAUGACCACAGGCUCUGUUUGUGCUAAAUGGACAUCCUAUUACGAAAACGCAGUUGAGUACACAAUGCACACCUGCUCCCGGAUAACAGUGUUGGGUGAGGGAGCCAUGUCUUCAGGGUGUGUGACGUCUAUUACGAACAACAGUAGGUGGACGGAACUGUGCGCCUGUAAGUCGGACCCCGGAUCACCGCCCUGCAACACAGGAAAUCAGACUCCUGUUACGAUCUUGGGACUAUUCUUUAUCAUCUUUAUUCUCUUGAAGUUUCUAAUGUAGGAUUUCUUAGGCCUGUAAUAGUCUUUCUAAAUAGGACACUGUAACAUAUGUGCGGUUUAAAAAAAAAGAUAUUUCCUCCAUCACAGACUGUUUUAUUCGCUAAAGAAUUAAAACACAGCUUGCGGCUAGUCGUUUAAUUAACAAUUAGUUAGUCCUCAACUAUUAAUAGCAACAUCCCAGUCACUACCGAUAUUUUCUGACAGAAAUUCGAUUAAGGACAACGGAAGAGCUCUAAUAGAAAAUCACACUUCCUUACCACAAAGCAAAAUAAAUUAAAGCCACACGUUGGUAGUAGCACUACGAAAACUAAGUAACAGACUUUGAAAUUAUUACAUGUCCAUAACUCUUACAACUGUGGAAGCGUUGAACAAAAAUUAACGAUAACAUGACGUAAAAUGUUCUCAUACUUACUCAGAUAAUCACAAUGUGUACUCAUGCUCUUGUAUCCAGGCCCAUGUCAGUAUUCUCAAAAGCCUUCCAAUGUACUCUUUCCUAUGUAAAUAAAAUCCAGUUUAAUUCCCGACAA